rnacentral:misc_RNA from 1 species
GCCAUGUCCGAUAUAUUGCAGUAGCUCAAGUUUAUCUGACGCAGGUUCUGUGAGUAAUAGGCAAGUGCCCAGAAUCCCUUAUCAUCAAUAUUCCAACAAUGCUUCAAGUCCAAAUCUGCUAGUGUCUUACACUUGGCUGCAAAGGCUGUCAAACCUACACUUGUGAUUUUGCCAAGUCCUCUCAAUUCCACAUCAGAUAGCUCCUCCAGAUAGCCAAGUAAUUUUAUCCCUCUAUCAGUAAUAUUAUUGCAGUAUGACAAGUUGAGCUUUUUCAACUUCUUGCAACCACUCGAUAAAGCAGCUAAACCAUCAUCUCCAAUACCAGUACGGUAUAGAUCCAGUUCAUGAAGCUUUGAACAAUCAGAAGCAAUAUAAAACAGUCCUUUGUCUGAUAUGUUUGCGCAAAGUCCUAAUUUCAAGCAUACAAGUCUUGAACAUCUGGAGAG